rnacentral:rRNA from 1 species
AUGAUUAGUAAGGGAUAUUCUGUUGGUACCUCAUUUACCGUUUACAUGGAUUCAUGCUUCAUGUCUGGUAAUGUAAAAGGUGCCUUGAAAUGCUGGGAUGAUAUGGUGAAAGUUUGGUGCGCAGCCGGAUUUUAUAGCCUUCUCUGCAUAUAUCAGUGGCCUUUGCAGAUGAGAUCAUGUAAACUAGGCAUAUCGGGCAUUUGUAUAGAUGACAAGAAGAGUUCUUGUUCCGAACAAUAUUACUUACAACUUCUUAUAUCUGCGUCUUGUUGGGUCGGCCAUGUGGCUGAAGCACUGAAACUAGAGCAGACGAUGAGGCAGAGUGGUCUUGUUCCUGGUGUUUUCACAAGCAACAUUCUGAUUGAUGGUUUUUGCAGAGAAGGAAGGUUGGAAUGGGACAUGGUGAAUAACCGUUUCUUUGACAUACAAUACAAUACAAUUAUUAAUGCAUCCCAGGAUAUGAACGGUGCCAUGAUUUUCAUGAACAAGAUGCUUGCAGAUGGCUGUGAUCCUGAUGUUCUUGGGUUGUUUUGGUUGCUUGUCGGGCGUUUCUUUCUUUGA